rnacentral:lncRNA from 1 species
AGAACUUAUCCACCCCAAAAAAUGAUCAAAGAACCAUCAUCGAACAAAGGCGACGAGGUGAUAUUAACAUUGUUUAACGAAAUUUGAGAAUCGGAAGCGCGCUGGUGACUAUCAACGAGUGGUUGGCGAACAUCGUCGGAAUCUUGGCCCCGACGGGAGGUGAACUGAGGCUUUCAAAAGAUAAAGCUAGGGGCGAGGAAUGGAAUUGGAGUAGGGACAGCGGAGGCUGACCGGAUUCGAUAAAUGCGGCGUCGGAAGCAGCGAACAAGGUGGCCGACGGCGAUUUGGGAAGCAGGGUCUGAGAGACGAGUUCGAGGGUGAGGGACAUGGAGACGUAGCCCGAAUCAGAGAGGAUUUCAGCAGCGUCGAGGAUUGUUUGGGAUGGGAGAGAAGAAGAGAGGGAGAAGAGACAGAAAAUGAUGAGAGAAGUGAGAAGAGAGUACGCCAUUAAUGGUAGGUCCGGAAGAUUUUUAGGGAUUAGGUUGCAGAUUCUCUAUAUGAACGAAGGAGAAAGGAUUCUGGCGGGAAAGAAAAAUGAAAGGCAUGGGAUUUGUUGAUCAACAAGGGGAAUCAAAAGUUCGUUAAGAAGUAGUUGUUAAACUCUUCUGGAGAAAUGAUGGAAGUAGCCCUUCAGGAUUUGAGUUUUACGUUGUUAUUGGGCCUACCGUGGAUGAUGGGCCUUUGUGGGGUCGUCACUCUAUUUGGCUGGGUUUUGUUGUGUCGAUAUGAACAUUUUACUCGAAUCAAUAAACCAUAUAACAAUUCUUUCACAAUAACAUAAGUAGGAUGGAGAGAUUGGACCACGUGGAUUAUUCAAAUUCACACGAAAAACAUAAACAUUAUGUCUUAUCUAAUAAAAUUACAAAAAUAUUUAUGAUGGUUAUGAAUUUAAAUUUUUAUAUGUACACACCAAUUUCUCUUUUUUUUAAAAUCAUAUAUUGUAAAAUCGGAUUUUUAUUUGUCCUCUCACUUUUCUUUUUCUAGGCCUAAAAGAAGCUUAAGGCAAUUACAAUAAUUUUUUAAAAGAAAGAUGAUGAUGGGAGACUUGCCCAAGCAGAUAUUCGAGGUAGAACCAUGGAGCCUUGAGACACACCAUUACAAUGAGCAUGGAAAUCCUUUAUAAAAUACGAGGAUCAGAAACCUCUUGCAACCUCUUAACAAUGUUUUUUUAUUGUUGUUCCACAAGGAGUUCAAAGGAGUCAUCAUGAUAGCCAAACCCCAUUAAUGAGCUGCAUUGAUACUGUGAGGGUUUCGAUGUUGGCCAGGACGACGCAACCACCCAUUGAUAGAUGAAUGAUCCAACCAUAAUUCUCUUACCAAUGGUAUGAUUAUUCUUUGGAAUGUACCCCUGUAAUUGAAAUUCUCCUUCCUUUCGGAUGUGGUGACCAUAUAUGGCCUUGGUUGAUGUUUCUCUCCUUAAAACUAUUUGUCUGGGCCCAUUACCAUCUUCAUCACUUUGGCCCAUUUAGUAUUACCAUAAUACUAAUAAAGGAAAUUUUAUUUAAUUUUUAAAUUACCAUAUUGUAUAAUUAUUUCUCUUUUUUUUUUUAAUAUUUAAAUGAAAUGUUUUAUUCGUAAAUAUGAAAAAUUAUAAUGUAUCUGUAUAAUACAAUAACAAUAAAACUAGGUAGUAUUUUAACACAUUAAAUACUGAAUAAAGGUGAAAUUAAUCAUAAUGACUCAAAACUAAAACAAAUCAUCAAAUCAAAUAAAAUAUUUCUUAAUGUGAUGUGGGUAUCAUCUAUAAGGUGGGCCGAAAUAUUUAUUCCAUGUGUCUUGGCCAUAGUUGUCAUACCAUGCGUCACCUUCUCUUCGCUCAUAAUCACCAUAUUCCACUGCCCUUCCUCGUUGUUGAUAUGAGAAGCCAACUUCCUCUUGUGCAGGUUCAUCAGAAGAGUCAAUCUCCUCUUGUGGAGGAUCAGUAGAAGCUUUAACAGAAGGCUCAGAAUCUUUUUUCAUGUAAAAGAAAACAAUAAAGACAGAAAAUUAAAACGAUGAUACGCCAUAUGAGAAGAACAGAAGCUUUUAUAUAUAUAGUUAGAAGGGAAAAGAAAAACCCGAGAGAGAGAGAAAAAGUAAACCUUUGGGCUUAGAAGAAAAGCAACCCAUCUUUUAUAAGUUCAACUUUUUUUUUUUUAAAUGUCUUCAUGGAAUCUCUUUUUAUAGCUGAUUAGGUCCUUUAAUUAGCACAAUAAUGGAAAGAUAGGAUUUUGGGAAGAGAAUCCCCUUUUAAUAUUUUCAAAAUAAAAUAGAUUCUCUUAAAAGUUUUUCCCUUUAAAAAAAUUUAAUAAAUAAAUAAAUAUAUAUAUAUAUAUAUAUAUAUAUAUAUAUAUAUAUAUAUAUAUAUAUAUAUAUGCUUGAAGUUAUUUUCUUAUAAAAAUUUGACGUGCAUGUGAUUUAUUCAAACAUUUUUAUGUUAUCUAUGAUUCUUAGAAAAUACUAAGGAAAUAAAAUAUGAAGGAAUAAUAAAAAGGAAAAGAAAACAUAAAGAAAUAUAUAUAUAUAUAUAUAUAUAUAUAAGUUUUGGGAUAAUUGUAUUUUAAACCUAAUUAAACCAAAAAAUUAAGAUUUGGUCCAUAUAAGUUGCAUAAUUGAUGAAAAGAAUAUAAAAUAUGAAGAGACCAAUAUAUCUUUCAAAAUUAUUUUCUACCACAAUGUUUGACAAACUUUUUUAUCUUAAUUUUUUUUAAUAAUUAUUAUGAAAAUUUAUUAUUUUUAGAAAACUAUUUUAAAAAAAAAAAUAUUCUAAAAAUAUAUCUUUAAAAAAAAAAAAUUUGACAUAUUUUUAGUUAUUUUUUAUAUACACAAUUUUAAAAAAUAUAUACUUUCCAAGAUGAUUGAUUUUUAAAUAAUAAUAAUAAUUUAUUUUUAUAUUUUUAGAAAAGGAUGUUAAAUUAUAUUGAAUUUAAUUGAGGUUUACAAAAGGAAUCUUGGCUCCGACGGGAAGUAAGAUAAAGCUAGGGGCGAGGAAUGGAAUUGGAGUAAGGAGAGCGGAGGCUGACCGGAUUCGAUAAAUGCGGCGUCGGAAGCAGCGAACAAGGUGGCCGACGGCGAUUUGGGAAGCAGGGUCUGAGAGACGAGUUCGAGGGUGAGGGACAUGGAGACGUAGCCCGAAUCAGAGAUGAUUUCUGCAGCGUCAAGGAUUGUUUGGGAUGGGAGAGAAGAAGAGAGGGAGAAGAGACAGAAAAUGAUGAGAGAAGUGAGAAGAGAGUACGCCAUUAAUGGUAGGUCCGGAAGAUUUUUAGGGUUUAGGUUGCAGAUUUUCUAUAUGAACGAAGGAGAAAGGAUUCUGGCGGGAAAGAAAAAUGAAACGUGGCGGCAUGGGAUUUGUUGAUCAACAAGGGGAAUCAAAAGUUCGUUAAGAAGUAGUUGUUAAACUCUUCCGGAGAAAUGACGGAAGUACCCCUUCAGGAUUUGAGUUUUACGUUGUUAUUGGGCCUACCGUGGAUAAUGGGCCUUUGUGGGGUCGUCACUCUACUUGGCUGGGUUCUGUUGCGUCGAUAUGAACAUUUUACUCGAAUCAAUAAACCAUAUAACAAUUCUUUCACAAUAACAAGUAGGAUGGAGAGAUUGGACCACGUGAAUUAUUCAAAUUCACAUGAAAAACAUAAACAUUAUGUCUUAUCUAAUAAAAUUACAAAAAUAAUUUUUAAAGUUAUAAGUCUAAAUUUUCUACCUAAGAGUUUCUAUUUUUUUUUUAUAGAAUAAUUUCUAUUUUUAAAAAUAAAAAAUAAGAAAUGUAUCCAAACAAAACCUAACGUUUCAUUCGAAUAUAUUUUUUAUUUUGAUUUUUUUUUUUAUAAAAUUAGUAGUGUUGACUUAAAGCAUAGACUUACGUUUUGAAUUUUGUUUUAACUUCUCUUGGUCCUGGUAACGAGUUUUUAAAAAUUAAUAGUACAUUUUAUUUUUUCCUUUUUCUCUUUAUGACUAAAAGAAAAAGGAUCAUGUAGAAAAGUAGGCUUGUGGAUGAUGGGCCUAAUGGGCCUCACCCAAGUUCAUCUAUGGAAGUUGUAUCGUAGUUUGUAUCAAUAAACGCAUAGACCAAAAGCAUUUAAGCAAUAAUACCAUUAUUAUAUUAAAAUUUGUAUUUAAAAAACAUUAUUUUUAUGAUAUUAAUUAGAAUUUUUUUCCAUAUAUAAUUAAAUAUGAGAAAUAUUUUACAAGUUUUAUUUAUUUAUUUAUACUUUUUUCUUUAUUUCCUUUCCUUUAAACUUAUUUGAUUUAUACUUUUUUAAAGAGUUUUAAGAAAAUAAAUGAAAUUUAUUAAUGUUUAGUUCCUCUAAAAUAUUAAGAAAAAAAAUGAUUUUCUCAUAUUUGAUUUUUUAGAAAAAAUAUAAAAGAAAUUCAAAAAUCAUUAAAAAUUCAUGUAUUUUAAAAUUAUUUAUUCAAUCUUUAUAUAAUAAAGAAAAAUAAGUGAAAUGAAUCGUAUAAAUAUCAAAAAUUAGACAAACAUUCCUUACAGGGUCAAAUAAACCCCCGACACCUUGGGUCGAAAAUGGACUUUGAUACCAUUUGUAAUGACCCGUUUUUAAUUGUGUAGAUAUUGUCUACUUUGAAUCCAAAUGAGCUUUCAUAACUUUAAAAUGCGUUUAUAUAGUUAAAAAGAGUUCAUACUUACAUAGUAUUAGGAACUUUCUUCCUAUCGAUAUAUCAUACUUUGUUUUUAAAAUAAUUCUCUAUUUUGGGAACAAUUGAUAACAAAUGUGUUUGAAACAUGGCCUUAAAUUUCUUUAUAUGGUGGGCUGACCCCCAAAGAACCAGUGGGCAAUAUUGGCGACCCAGAUCAAGUAUUGUUUACUUGGUCCAUAUUCUUUGGGUCCCCAGACCACCUUGGGAUACAACUGCAGGGUGAUUUCCUUUCAUUUUUAUUUACUAAUAAUGUUCCAUCCAUUAGUCUGGGAUUCCGAAAUUAGUUAAAUUGAAAAUUCAAUUUCUAUUAAAAUUUCAAACGUCUACAUCAUUUCAGUGGGGCAUUUCUUGCACAGUAGGUCGUGCCUCAUUUUGCUUGGGCUAACUCCACAUUGAAGCCCAACCCAAACAAUUUUGAGCUUUAAAAUCUGCCCAGACCUGGCCCAAGUUUGCUUUUCUUUUGCCCUUUUUGGUCAGGCUUCAACACUGAACACUUAUUUUGGUUAUAGAAAAGCAGAGGAAAGGAAAAAAAAAAUGGAAGAAAAAAAAAGAUUUAAAUUUAAUAAAUUAUUUUUAUAUAUUUCUUUAAAUUUAUUUUUAUUUUUUAUAUUAUAUAAAAAUUAAAUCAUUUAAAAAUAUAAAAUUUUUGAGAAAUUUUAAUUAUGUUUAUAUAUUUUUAUAUUUUUCACGAUGAAACCAAGAAAAAAUUAUUUUUAUUUCCGGGAUAUGGAAAUGAAUUGUUAAAAUAAUAGACCGUUAUUGCUUAAAAAUAAAAAAUAAAAAAUUGAGAAAUGAUUCUCAUGAAGAUUGAGGAAUUUAACACAGGUAAAGAGUGAAAUUGAAUAGUUCAGUCCAUGAACCCUAGAGCUUACCUUUUGUCCAGCAGGAAAAAAAAAAAAAAAAAAGUUAAAAAUAUAUUUUAUAUGAGUGGAAAAAUAGAAGGUUACUGCUAGAGAAAAAUAAAUAUUUUUUAAAAAUAAAAAUAAAAAUUGGAGCAUUUAUUUUGAGUUUCAUUCCAUUAAUCCAAUAAGAAUAUUUACAAGUUCUUAACACUUCGUUUUUUAUUUUGAUUUUUUUUUUCUUGCUUAUUUUCCCUCCAUGUACACCAUUUUCGGAAAAUACAGAGAGCUAAGAAGAACAUGCAGUCAUAUUGGAAGUAAAAAGAGAAACAUGAGAUUACCCAGAGGGGAAAGGGUUGUCAGCACUACUGUGGUAUGAAAUAAUGGGAAGUACUAUAUAUACACACGACUCCAAAACAAGGCAACAAAUUAUACAUUGUACUGGAAGUCAAGAAAAUAGAGCAGACUGCAAACAAAUGAAAUGACAAGACGGUGCACUCGGUUAUGAUUCUACCCUCUCACCUCUCACCUGCUCUCUCACUGUGUGCAAAUGCCAACCAGUCUGCAACUCUUCAUCUUUUCCUUACGGGUACAGUCUACUCGAUACUUCCCCAAGUGUUCUUCAACAUGUCAUCAAUGCAGCACCCAGCACAUCAAUCCUUUCUGUGGGGGGGCUUCCUUUCCCCCAAAUGCAUGGCUGGAAAGUAACCAGCCUGGUUGUCCCAACUCCAAGGACCUAAUUUCUUAUUUAUAGUUUUCAAUUUUAUUUUUGGGUUGCAAAAUAACGAUAUUUUAUGAGAAUGGGACUUUGAAUAAUUAAACAAUUGCAGCAUUAAGUUGUGUUUGGAAAAAUAUUUAGGGGCUAUCUGCAUGCAAAUAGUAUAAGGGAAAAUGAAGUCUUCGAAAAUAUGCCACAUGUUCAUGGUUAGGGAGAUGAAAGCAAUCAAUGAUAGAAAAACCAGAGAAUGGGUGGUGGGAAUCUGCUUGCACCAGCAGCCAAAAACCCAGAUGAAUGGUGUGACUGCAAUGAAUAGCAAUGGGCAUGCUUGAACAAAAUGCGGGCAGCCACUUUUCAGAACACUCUUAGCUAAGCAUUGUCCUUCUAAAGAAAGGUCGUUUCAUCUGCUAUCAGCCUAACACUAAACUCCCCCCCUAGGAUCAUUACAGCCGUCCAGCUGGAUGAUUGAAUGUUAUGAGUGUACGAAAAGUUUAAUUCAUUUUUUUGGGAGAGAAUAAUAGUACGAAACUUAUGGACUUGUCUACGAUCAUUCGAGAAAAUUCAAACAAGAAAUAAUGACUACCCUGAAUCUAUAGCUCAGCAUUCCCACAGAUUUCCCUGUCUCCUGAUUUCAUUUAUUAUUUAUAGUCCCUCAAUUUCCUCCUUUCUUCCUCGUACCUACCCUUUCCAUCCUUCCUACCUCACCCCCACCAACUCUCAGAAAGGCACAGUCACAUGACAGUGAACAGGCCUUUUAUUAGUGGUUUUAGUAUUAGUUCCUGAUAUCUGGUGAAUUUUGCCCGCGUUGCUUCCAUGCAAGAUCGUGUCCUUUUGUUUUUCUUUUCUUUUCAACUCACAGGGAACUGAUUAUUUGGGUUUUGUUUUGGUUUUAGGUGGCUGUGUUUGAUUUUUCUUUUGAAGUGAUACAGUGGGAGGGUUUUGUGGAAGAAGGAGCUCUCUUUAGUCCAGUCCGAGACAGCUUCAAGGCUGAUACGUGGCUGCUGACUCGUUGCUUCAAGAACUCAUCACAUAGGCCUGGAAAAGAUGGAUGGUUUUUUGAUCCAACGAUGCAGGAGCUGCGUUCAGUUAUGGCUGUCACGUCUUGGACUGAAGGGAGCUCCCUUGUAUUCCACAGCACUCAAUGAUCUUGUAUCUAUAUUUUGAGCUUAAAUUAAUUACUUUUUCUGUAUACUCAGUUCUUCAUGAACACUUCUAUAACUUCCCUGACUCUAAUACAAUUCAUAUUAUGUGUUUUGAUAUUGCUAGGCCAUUCCCCACAACGUCAAGAGGUGCAUGCAGGUGCAGAGCCCUGGAUAUGGGGUCACCAUGAUGGAGCUGCACUGCAGUGGGCAUUACGUGACUCAAACCAGCAGACAGCUUUCUCAGUUCCAUUUAUGGACUAUGGGGGGUAUGAACUAUGAAGAAUGGGCCUGCUGCCAUGCCCUUCUCUCAAUGUCUUUAUAGAGUUCCCUAGCUUGUUGGUGACUGAUCUGAUAUUCAGUAAUGGAAAAAAGACCUCUGAUGGCUGUCAUAGAUUGGUAUGCCAUGGGCUGGUAUUGUGAUUGUUCUAGGGCAUUAUAAGGAAUAAGCAAAUCCCAAUUUUUGACCAGGCAGUGGCCUUGUUGGAGCCGGAAUGACAUGCUGAUGUUGAAACUUUGGAUUUUUGGUAAUUCCAUUAGUUGUAAUUACUGGGCAGGAGCAUCCAUGGCAAGUCACUUUCAUGUUCUUAGAAGGUUCUAAUUUGUGUAGUCAAACUCCAUACAGAGCUUCAUACUCUAAAUUAAUAACCGACGUCAAUCUAGAAGUCCGAUGAGCAAGUUCCCUGCCAUAACAGCCAUUAACCAUCUGUCCAAAUUUUUUAGAGUGGUGAUACGUUGACUCAAAUGAUUGUUUAAUUAAGCUCCAUUGAUUUUAUAUAUACAACAACCAAGCUUUUCUUCCCUCCGAAUGUGAUAUGAUAUCAUCAACAAGACUUUCCUACUAAUAUAAUCCAAACCCUUCAACAUCCCAUCGGACUUGUAUUACACCAAACUUUGGAAGAAAUAAUUCUACAAUUUAUAAACACUGAAUAAACCUUUUAUUGAUAUUCAAUAACUUGUUAUAAAUUUGAAAAUAUUUUUAUUGGUAUUUUUUUUUUUUAUAAUUUGUUUUUAGAAGGGCGGUGUAAAUAUCAAAAAUCCAAAAUUUCGCACAUAACAGACAAAGAACCAAUUGCAUCCGAGGUUAAUAAAUGCCACAGGACUUGCUAUAAGCGGACAAAUGGGCGAAUUCAAUGACGACUCACCAACCAUCUGAGGCCCAGGGGAUCGAAACUCUAUGGGUUCCAGCAUUGAUUAAAACUUUCAAAUCAGAACGCUCUGAGACCAUUUGUGUUUCAUAUUUCAUCAUCCCUGAUCAUGGAGAUAUGUUCUGUAGUUAAAAUGAUUUUUGCUUUACAUAUUUUUUAAUCCAAGUAUAUGAAAAGCUACGCUAUUCACAGGCUCACAGUCAGAAAGUAGUCAGAAGAAAUUAGGAAAAAAAAAGUGUCAUUAAAGAUCCUAAUAUUAGUUAAUGGAUACAAAAUUCAGAUCCAGAUAAAAGUAGAAGAAAAGUGUAAACAAAAACGUAAUCAAAUGAUUCAGUUUUGGCUCUGUAUAUACGCCGCUAAUUCAGAUGAAUCCCGGCAAAGACCCACUUGGUGAUCUCCACAAAAUGGCCGAGGAUGAGAGCAGCGGAGGUUGGGACGCUGAGUGUGAUCAUAGCCAACAUCCCAAGAACCAAGCUGGGCCUGGUAUUCAUCAACUGGGACUGCAACAACCCCAUUGCAUCACAUAUAAACGCAUCGUAACUAGUGUAGAACUGCUUCUCCCAUUCCAUCCAAUCCUCCGGCGGUUCAUAGUUCCUCUCCACCAUCUUCAUCUCGUGAAUUCGCUUCCUAAGAACAAUCAAAUUUUCAUCCACUAGCCGACCCCCAUGAUUUUGGUGGUCAGAUCUUCUCCACGCAGAAACUCUUGUCGUGGAGCCUCUCUUCUUCCCGCAAUCAUCCCCUCCCCGGAACUUCGAAAAUGGGCCAAGAGGGAGAGCAGUUGAACAAAGGCAAGAUGAUUCCAUUGAACUAGAAGUUGGAGAAUAAUUGAGAGAUGGUAUUAAUUAUCUCAUGCAUCUUGAUCCCAUCUAAAGUAUACUAUAUAUAUAUAUUAGAAAAAAGGGGUGGUGGUAGGCAUGUGACUCAGGGCCUAGGGUUCAUGAACCGAAACUUAGGAGAUAAGGAAUGUGGGCAAACCGUGUUGUGUAACAGAGACACCUAUCCUUUUGCGCGUUUUCCUGAGAGUUAAUUCCGGGCAGCUGCGCCCGCCCAGAAACUGACAUCUGGCUUAGUCUUUUCUAAAUUAUAUUUCGGGGAUUUAAGAAUUCCGAGAAGUGGGUGGGAAGGUAUAAAGAAAACCCCAUGAUUGAUGGUUGAUUUGAUCGAAUAGAAUGGUUAGAAAAAAGAAGUAUAAUUAAUUGGAAAUACAUUAGAAUAAAACAGUCUCUCGUACUGUGUGGUAUUUGAUUCAUCAAGAGAUCAUGCACGAAUCUAGAAAGUUACCAGAAAAUUUAACGAUGAGAUCUGAAAAUGCAAGAAAGCUUGGGACCCCGAGAAGAUAAGGCCGUCUUCCCGUUUGGGUGUUGGGAAGCGGCAUCGUGGCUUUUGGUUGACUCUGAAAGGGACGGCGCCUUUGUUUAUUGUUGAUGCACUGUGUCUUGAUUAUGACUUGGUACAAAUAAAUAGAAAAUGGAGAAUUUAUAAGAUUAAGAAAUAGGGCGGAAAGAUUGGAAGACUACUGGGCUGAAUUGGAUCUGAUGCAUCGACCAGAAGUUUACUGUUUCCCUUUAGAUUCCACUUCAUUGGAUUCGGUAGAUAUGAGAAAAUAUGAAGGAUCAAUAUUUAUUCAAAUGUAACGUUAUCUGAUGUGACCUGUUGAGUGUGUUAAAUAAUGAAAAAUCUAAAUACCAACAAAGAAAAAGUUAGGCUUAUGCAAUGAAGUGCAACAACCCACCUAAUUUUUUUACUAAAGAUGGAUGAUGAUGAUGAUGACUAUUAUAAUAAUAAUAAUAAUAAUAAAGAUAAGAUUAAAAAUCAGAUUUUUAUUUUAAAAUAAAUUAAAUUAGAUAAAUUAAUUAAUAUUACUAUUGGAGUUUAGUGAUCUAAAUUCUAUUUGAUUAAAUUUAAAAAGCUCACGUCUUAUAUGUAAUGAAACUAAAAUUAUGAUGAUUAUUUUUAUAUUUUUUGUUGUAGAUGCUCACAUAUCUUCCUUUUUAUAUCAAUUGUUGACAUAGGUGAAACUUCCUUUUUAUAUCAAUUUUUGACAUAUGGUGAAACUUCACAUCUUUUUGCUUUUGUACUAAUUUUUGAAUUUUUAAUAUAAUGAUUUUUUUUUUCUACUCGUAGUUUAUUUUUAUUUUUAUUUUAUUUUAUUUUAUUUUUUAUAGUCUAUUCUCAUUAUUUCGUAAUAAUUAUAAUAUUACAUAAAAUUAAAUCACAUGUAACAUCCAUGUGCUUGGCAUGUGGGGUAUGGUAGGAAAUCCUAGUACAAUAAAUUAUUAAAAAUUUGGGCAUGAUUUAGAGUUGAAUUUACUUUUAAAAAUAAAUAAAUUAAAGACCAUAGGAGAUUAAUGAAAAUGACUGAAAUUUUACCAUUUAUGCUAGGAAUUAAUUAUAAAGCAUAUCCUCGUAUUAACUACAUUUGGAUAUGCACUCCAUCAAAUUAUGGAAUUUCUAAUUUACGUCUCUAAUAUCGACUGCAACAUAUUAAAAUCUUUCUUGACGUGGACGGCUUGUCGGGGAGCCACAGGAGUAGUGCGUGCAUUAAGGAGAAAAAUGUGGCUACAAAAUUGAAAUCAUCUGUAUUACAUGUCUAUAAAAAAAUAAUUUGAUGAAAUCAAACUAUUUAAAUUGAAUGUGAGGACUACGCAAAAGAUCAUUGAGUGUUUACCGGUAAACUAACUUGGACUAAACUUUUUUGCUUCCACGCCUUCUCAUCAUUGCCUUGAGUAGAUAAUUCAAACUUCAGCCAGCGUAAAUUAUAUGCUAUUAUUACUUAUUAGCGUUGAAGCUCCUCCUUUUGUCAAUGGUUUUUAUGAAUCAGAGGUGACAUAUACAACAAAAAAAUUCAAUAUCUACGCAGGCAACAACCUGGCUUUGUACAAAUAAUGAUUAAAGAUGAACCCCUGUGAUGGUCCCUUUGGCUAUCUCCGCCAAAUGAAAUAAAACAAACCCCACAGAUGUGGGUAGGCUGAAUGCAAUGAGAGCCACCAUACCCAAAGCCAGGCUUGGUCUGGUAUUCAUCAGUUGGGAUUGGAAAACCGCCAUGGCUUCACAAAUGUCGGAGUAGUAAUUAGUGUUGUAAUAUCGCUUCUCCCAAUCCAUCCAGUCAGUCGGGGCUUCGUUCUUCCCUUCAAUCAUCUCGAUUUCGUGGAUUCUCUUUCUGAGAACAAUCAUGCUUUCAUCCACGAUUCGACCGCCGUAGUCUCGAUCAUGGGCAUCUCUCUUCGACGCUAGAAUCACACCGGGGAGCUUCUUUUGCCGCCGUCGAGGGUUUCCCGGAAAGAGACGUGGUGGGAGUGCAUGGGAACAACAAAGGGAGGAUGCAGCUUCCAUCGAUUUGGAGAUGGGGAAGUUGAGAUGAGUGGUGGAGCUUGUAGUUUGAUUCUUCUUGUUUUUUAAGUGGAGGGAGGUAUCAGGUAAGGGGAAAUGGCUCUGCGUAUUUAUAGAGCAAUCGAGAGGAGAGGUGGGAGGAAUGUGAGGGAAACGUGUGAUGUGAAACAUAGGGGUUUGGCGCGUUUUUUUUUAGUGAGUCGUUACGGCGGUUGACGUGCGGUGCUAUGCAAAUUACAAUACAAUGCUUCGAAGAAAUUUUGUAUCGAUCGGUGGAUUCGGAGGCGGGACCAUGGCGGCUGCUUGUUUAAGUUUUCAAUGUUACAGCUUCCUCUGAUAAAAAAUUGAUGACUAACAAUUAAUUAUUAGCGAUGCGUGAAAUUACUGAAGAAAACAAUUUUCAAAUCUUUGCAAUUAUGAAAUGUUGAAAGUUUCUCGUAAGAUAUUUGAAAAAAAGAAAUCAAUUUUAAAUAGUAGAACUUAAAAGACACGUGCGUCUGUUUCAGAGUUUAAUAGUGCGUAUGACACUGGGUUUUGAACUAAUUCACGUCUCAGUUAAUGUUUCUUUUGGUUGAUUUAAAUUUGUGCCUGUAAUGAUUAUAUUCAAUCUAUUAAAAGUAAUAUUUUGCAUAUUCGCAGUAAUAAUUGAACUCAGAUGAUGGGUUCAAAUUCAUUUUUCUCUCUUGGGAAUCUGCGACCACUUCGCAACGAGGAAAAAAACAAGAAAAACUCGAAGACUCUUUGGAGGAAAGUGCACGGCACAGCGGAUUUGGUGGCCCCGCAGCAACAGUGGCUCAUUCUACACUUUAUUUAGAGGAAGUAGAUUCAGCUAGUUCUAUGAUCCAAAUGGAUCGGGACAGUCCAUUGAUGGGGUUUCUGAUACAUGAAAACCAAGAGACAUGACCCAGAGGACCAAAAAGAAAGGCACCUUAAUAUGAUUUAAGGACUCCAAUCUGGACUCUGCAGAAAAAGAUGUGUUACAAGCAUUUUUCUACAUGGGCGUCCCAUUGAAAGAUUAUCUAGCAGAUACAAACCAGGGGUGCAAUAUCCAGAAAGCAAAGGACUUUAGUAUCAUUGAACAGCCCCUACUGUGUUGCACUGGAUGUAUUGCAAGUAGCUUUCUACAUGAGAGUUCUAAGCUGACGAUGUUCUAAUGUAACAGUAAUGAUCAAUGUAAUUUGCUGUCAUGUCUCAUCAAACAGCUCAUUAGGUCAGAAAAAGGCAACAGCCCCUCCUUUAUUUGCAAAAACCUCUCCUUUACUUAGCACCUGUAGGAGAAAAAUCAAUAAAUAGAGGGAUAUGUGAUUAGAACGUUAUUAAUGCCCAAGUAAUUACAAACCUUCUAGGAUAAAUGGUUGGAUUUGGUCAAGGGGAGGUGAUUCAAGCUUCUGGGUUGAUUCAACUUGAGCAAGAGGAGGCUCGAGUUGCUGGUUUGGUUUAGCUUGGUCAGUAUCAGAAGGCUCAAGUUGUAGGGGUGGUUGGACUUGAUCAGGAGAUGGUGGCUCAAGCUGCUGGUAUUUGGGCUUGUUCCUCUCAAGGAGACGGUAAGUGGUGAAAUACCAAAACAGCAGUAUUCUACUUUGAGCCAUCACUGUAUCUCUAAUGCGACUGCCUCCAAAUGAGAGCCGCUCAAGUGCCUGCAAAAUAACGAACAGAACAAGGUGUAUUAAUCAAAACCUUCUCAUGGAAAAAAGAAACUAAUAUGUAAUAGCCAUAGGUUUAAUUCCCCUAACUCGUCCAGCAACUAAAAAAUUCAUGUGAUGACCAGAUAUAAUUCAACUCUAGUCUUUGACUAAAUAUUCUUAAAUCCCAAAUUACAGCAAUGGUAAGCCUGAACUUCCUAAAAUGAUGUUAAAAAACAAAGGAAUUAUCCCCAAAGUUCAAAGGAAUAAAAACACAGUGAACUAAUAAGAUGAUGCAAAAUUUGUAUUGACUGGAAAUGAAGGGAAGUGUGUAUUAGCUGUAAUGAACCAUACUCAUAUUUUGGACUAGAAUAGUAAUAGCAUACCAUGGUUUUAUCCCAAAAUUUUGAAAUAAAUUAAAAAGUAAAAAAAAAAAAAAAAAAACAUUAAAACUACAGGAUCAAUAUGGUGCUACCAUACUCAUGUUCCAAGAUUUUAACAUCAUCACACCCUAAUGAUUAUGAGUGGUGCUUAUGAUAGGAAUGUAAAUGAUCUUUUCUUUCCGUCUCAUAUAGCUUCCAUCCCUUCACCUGAAAAAGGAAAAAUAUCAUCGCCACCCAGACCCCAUAUCCAGGUAGCAUGAUCAUUUCACAUUUUAAUUUAGUGUUCUGCAUUGUAUGUGAUAAUCUUUUGUUACUGUGGUUUAUAGAUGGGUAUUCUAUCUUGUGGCUGCAGGGAUGGCUUCCAUUUCAUUAUAAAUUAAAACAGGAGCAAAAGUCCUCCCUUUACCUGUUCUCCAGUUUGAAUAUCAAAUGGCUGCUGGUGAUCAAAUUCAAGACCACUAAAUUCAUUAAUGCAAAGCCCCUGAAAUGCCCUGAAAGCACCCCAUGAAAUAUAAGAGUUAUCAAUAAAAGGAAAAUAAAAGUCUCCAUUUAAAAAAAAAAUGUAAGAAAUUAUAAAGAUUUCUCAUCUAAACAAAGUAUAACAUAUUUACCAUCUUAUCAGCGAAAUACGAGGAAUCCACCGGAAUAUAAUUGGUGUAUUCUCUGCGUUGACAUAAUAGCCUCCAAAUACAAUAAAAACUGUCAUAAGAGAGGGCCCCACAGCCAUUGCUGCUUCAGGGGUCGGAACCAUGGCCCCCACAGUUAGACCCAUAGCAGAUGCAGCAAAAGACUCCACUGUCACAAUUCCACAGAACUGCCCAAAUCUAGAAAAUCCACAAUUCAAGUCAAUACAAUGUCUAUUUUGUUUUAUUUCUCUCUUCUUCUUCUUUUUCUUCUUCAUUCCCUUCUAUUUUAUAUUUUACAAGUCCAUAUAUUUGCUAGAUUCUUUAAUGUGCAAAGGUACCUUAAGGAACUUUAUUGGGCAAACCUUAGACAAAGGGAAUCAAUAAUAUUUAAUGAAGAAAGCUGAAUUUCAUUUGGUUGAAUGACAUAUAAGAUAUAUUCAUAUCUGUGUAUCCUAAAAAGAAGAACAGAUAAAGAUUUUCUCCCUGAACUUCAUUUCGGUGAUGAGUACAAUAUGAGCUACAUAUGCUAUAUUGUUAAAUAUGUAUGUAAAGUUAAGUCUUUCCCUUUUAGGCUUUAUCUUUUCUCCUAAUAUUUUUCCAAGCAUUUUGCAAGAGAAGCCACUUAUUUUAUUCAUCGAAUUUAAUUGUCAAACUAAUAAAGAAGAAUGUUGGAUGAACUAAUUUUUGUCGUAUUUUCCCACCAAAUCUUUUCAUGCUGCCUCUCACUGGAAAGGUCUUUUGCUUUCAUAUUAAAGAAUGCACCAAGUUCUUUUGAUACACAAUUUCCCUAUUUCAGAAUGUAGUCAUACACUUAGCUUCAUAUAUUUAUAAACAUAUGAGGAAUUUUCUAAACUAGCUUUGUAGAACUGCAUCUAAUGUCAGAAAAUCAAACUGGUGCUAGCAAAAAGGCAUAAAAAACUCACUUGAACAAAGUAGGAUGAAGACGAGCCAUGGGGUACAAAACAGCCCCAAACAUUAAUGGAAAUGCGGCUCCAACCGGGAUCUCAGCUAACAAUUUAGAAAGUAGAUAAGGUCCUAAAGCAUAAGACCCCUUAGCACGCUCUCUAUCUACAAUUGCUCGUUCCUUGGGAAACACACCCACAGUUUUUGUCAGUGCAGCCAUUGCUGUAUUUAUUGCAGCAACCUGAGGAGAAAAAAUUCCAUAUAAAUGAUGAAUAUUCAAAUUCUUUCAAGAUAUAGUUUUAUUAAGAUCAUAAUUUGGAAAUACUGGCUAAUGAAGACAUCUCUCCCUUCUGUUAAAAUCAAUAUAUAAAAAUAAAAGGACAUACCUUUACAAGCAAGAGAUGAAAGUAGUGCUAAUAAUCAUAAUUAGGUGUUUAUUAAUAUUCUCUAAAAACAAAGGUGAUUGGUAAAUUGUUUUUAAAAACAUUUUUCCAAAAAAAAAAAAUGCUCAUUUAGAUAAAUUGUUUUUAAAAAUAAUUUUCCUAUUUUGAUUUUUAAAUUCAAUGAACAUAAUAUUAAUUAAAUUUAAUUCAAGUUUUAUUAAAAAUAAAAAUAGUUUUGUAAUUACAAAUAAAUUUAAAAAAUAAUAAUUUUUAGUAAAAUAGAAAUACUAAUAUUAUAAUAAAAUCAUAAAUUAUUAUUUUUAAUAAAAAAUGAUACUAUUUUAGUAUAUAUCAUAAAAAUAUUGAUAUUAACUAUAGGAAGAGUUUGUGUGAAUGUGUGUUUUAAAGUGAAAAAAAGGCACAAGGUGCAAAUCCCACAUUGGAAAGGGAUUGACCCCUUUUAUGGGUUUUUAUUGUAUCCCACUUCCUUAGCCUCAUGGGCUUGUGUAGUGUGAAGUGGGAGCCUCACGCACAAGGAGCCUAAGCCCAUUUUGGGAAAUCCUGUGUUCGAAAUGUACUAUACCAAGCCAGAAGUAGGACAUUGGUUUCCAUACUGAGGUCCAUAAUACCCAAGGAGGGUUGAUCUACUUUUAAGGAUAGUACUCUCAUCACACCUCAACCAAACAAUCCUCUAAGUUGCCUUUUUCGUUGUGUUUUGGGCUCAGUUACAUCUGAACUAGUUUCAAGUUUUUAGACCCAUAAAAACAACAUUAACAACUUCAUAGAAGUUACUUACUAAAAAAAAUCUUCAUAAAAGUAUAAUUGAUUGUUGUUGUUUUUUUUUUUUUUUUGUUAAAACAUAAAUAAUGACAAUUUAUUGAAUCUUAAACAUCCUCUAAGUUUCCUUUUUUGCUGUGUUUUGGACUCAGUUACCUUUGAACUAGUUUCAAGUUUUUAGACCCAUAAAAACAACAUUAACAACUUCAUAGAAGUUACUUAUUAAAAAAUAAAUAAAAACAUCUUCAUAAAAGUAUAAUUGGUCUUUUUUUGUUAAAAAAUAAAUAAUGAUAAUUUAUUGAAGCCCAAACACUGUUUGCUUAUCUCUCUGUCCUUUUAGAUCUCAAGUUUUAGUUUUUCAGGGGGGUACCUUUUAGAUAUUCUUGAUCAGUUGUCUAGUGUGGAAGGGUUUCCUUUUUUCCUUUUUCUCAUGUGACCUUCAUGCUCCAUAUAUUUAGAUCUCCACCUCUUUUGCACUUCUAGUUUCAUGUAUUAUUUAUGCAAAAAUAGCAAACAAAAAAGAGAGAAAGAAAGAAUAGCAAAUGCACUAUUGGAAUGUCAAAUUGGUAGAAUAGUAAUCAAGGCCAGCAUGGGAUAAAUAUUGGAAAGCAGGCACUCCAGUUAAGAAAAAGAUCCACAUUGUUUAUGCCAAAUCAUCAUAAAUUACAAAAGAUCAUUUAUGAGCAAAAGAAUGAUGUCCCAUACCACAGUAUAAGAAUCAAAAUCAUUCAAAAGAUUGAUACAUAGAACAUGCAAAAUAUAACAAAAUUUGUGCAACUAUUUACAGCUCAAACAUUAUGGGCCCGUUUGGCAACAUUUUUUAGAAUAGUUUUCUGAAAACAGUUUUUAAAACAAUUUUCAAUUGUUUUCAUAAACAAAGUUCUAUUUCGGAACUCAAAUAUGGAAAACAAUUUUCUCGGCUUAUUCAGUACUGUGCACUUGUGUAUAAUGUAAAAGUUCCCAAAGUUUUCUCUUUUUCAAUUGCUUCUAAGAACACUGUACAAAAAACACCUAAAAAAAAUCUCAAAUCUUUUCUAAAAAGCAACCUAUUUUUCAAAAAUAUUUUUAGUAAAAAAAAAAAAUCCCAGUCAUGCUUUUUAAGUUUAAAAACAAUUAUCAAACAGGCUCUAUAAUUUUCUAGUCUCCCUCCUUUACUUAUUAGAAAAACAAGAAAAAGAAUAAUCACAAAGUGGAACACAUUCAAUCCAUGGAAUGAAUUGGAGGGCAAAAUAUUACAUAAAAUGCAACAAAUAUUAUCAUUUAAUGUAUAUUUGCAGCACAGCAACCAUGAAAAGGGAAGGCAAGAAUUUUAGAGGAACUGAUAAUAUAUCAUACCUGAAGCAAUCCCAUUCUGUCCUGUAUUGAUGUCUGAGAUCGUCCCAUUCUCCAGAAAACCGACCCAAAUAUUAUAGCUGAUGCAAUUGACAUCCUUGACCGAACUUUAUUUGUUGGUCCAUCACGAGAAGCCUAGUUAGCAAUCGACAAGUUUAAACAGGACAAGAAGUUGAAGUUAAUAACAUUCAGACAACAACUUCUAAAGCAUAAAUUACAAAAGCAUAAUCAUUCCUUAGCUUGUCAGCACUCAGCAGUCACCACAUUUGUUGCCUACAUGCUAUAUGAACCUAUAAUGCUAGUCAAAAUAUUUCUUUUAUUUUUUUAUUUCCUUUUCCUCCUAUUAUUGCUCCGCUGACAAACAAACUUAAUUCAUCUGAAACAUGGAGAAAGCCAAGUAAUAUUGCUGAGAUGAUCCAACAUUUAAUACGCAGCAAAAGUGAGUAAAUACAUCAUCAUUAUAGUAAUCGAUGCUUUCCUGACAGUCAUAUAGUGUCAUCAAUUCUAUCUGGACGUAUGAAAUACAUAAUUCCUUGCCCAAAUUACAAAAAUACGGGAAAAUUGCACAACAAUAGAAAAGAAUAACCUGCAUCCAUGCACGUCUAAGGAGCAACCAGAACUGCCUCCACCAAACCCCCUUUUUCUUAACAACAGCUUUCUCACUGAAUUUCCUGGUGCUCUUAAAGCUCUCCCUUCUGGUAAGAGGAGUCGCAUAAAGAACUGCUGAUGUUUGUUGUGAGAAUGAUUCAACAAGACCAUCUAUCCUUUUCUGAGAAGAGUAGACACUGUCAGCAGAACUAUAGUCUAUGGAUAUGAGAUCAGCCAAAAAUUCAGCAGGAUUCACAUGAUCGGGGCAAUGAUACCUAUUCAAUCAAACUCAAUCAGUCAGUACUUUCAGAACUUAACAUUUAAAUAGCUGCAACAUAUUCUUAAUUUAUUAAUUUCUCCAAAAACAUAAAAUUAAUAAUAAUAAAUAAAAUGUCUAUUACAAAAUUCAGCAGCUAAAAUAAUCAACUAUCAGCUAUGCACCCCAAUUCAGAUGAAUUCUAACUCAUCACAGAACUAAAAACAACAGAACAAAAAGAAAAAAAUUAACAACAAUGACAAUAAUAAUAUUAACUAAUGGUUAUGAGAAAAAUCCAAUAACACAGCCAUAAGAAGCAGACAGAGACAGAGACAGUGUUGACAGAAAGAACUAAGGUAUGCAAGGUUUUGAUUUACAACCCAAAUCUUGAGAAGUAUGCCAGUGGAUCAUCCCGUGCUGGCCCAGCAUAAACAAGUGCACCUUCUGUUAGCAAUACAAUGUCGUCAAAUUUCCCAUACACUGAACUUCUAGGCUGGUGUAUGGAACAAAUUACAGUGUGUCCAUCCUGUGCAAGUAGUCGGAGUGUCUCCAUCACCUUUUCUGCCUGGAAAGCAUCGAGUCCUACAAGCACCAUCAGUUAUUUGGUUACAAACCAUAGAAGCUUAUGUGGGCUUCACUACUAGCAAAACUCUCAUGCCAAUAGUUAUGGAGAAAAAAAGAAGGUUUGGUUCAAAUAGAGCAGGUUUGGAAAGUAUCAUUUAUACUUGCGAACCAGAGUUCCCAUUGUGUGCCAUGCCAUACAUAACAGGAAACAAGUUCAUGGCUGUUUGCCAUGAAACAUGCUGCAUUCAGCCACUCCUUUUGCUGAGGUCAUUGGGUUUAAUAACUGAGCAAGGUAAGCUACCAGUCAUACUUCAUCAGAUCCAGGAAUGGUGAAAUCAAGGAGGAAUGAGCGGAUCUCUAAGUACAUGGUAUAUAAUAUACUCCCAGGCAUUUGUCCAUACUAAGGGAUUUUUUAUGGUGAUGAAUAUAUAUAUAUAUAUAUAUAUAUAUAUAUAUAGAGAGAGAGAGAGAGAGAGAGAGAGAGAGAGAGAGAGAGGGAGGGAGGGAGGCCCCUGAACACAUCAGCAGAGAGGAAGUCGCUUGUGGGAGAGGAAAAGUUCUCUGCCCCUCUGCAACCACCAUGCUCCAUCCUUUUAACACUGAUGAAGACUAUGACCAACACGAUGGGUUUCAUUUUUUAACAAACUGGUCCAUGAAAUCAGGCAAUCCACAUCACAUUAGUGUUUUCAUUAACAUGUAAAUAAUAUGUCUAAGACUCAGAUUCCCUGACACUGCCAUAUUAUUUUAUUUGUAUCCUUCAUGAUUUUUUUUAUUUUUUUUUCUUUUUUUUUUUGUUGAUGUUUUUAAGUAUUUUAUAUAAUACUAUUUGGCAACAGAAAUUUAUAAUCAUUGAUUGAUCCCUUGUUCAAAAAUAUCUAAUCAAUGUAAAUAUGAGUCUAAGGAGCAAUAAUACCUAAUCAAUGUAACUGUGAGCUUAUGACUAGAACUUUCCAAAGCAAUUGUAUUACUUCUGUAUGUAAGCCAGAUCGUAUCCAAAUAAUGAAUUACAAGCAAGGGUCACCAGGGCCACCUAUUAAAUAAACAAAAAGCAUGCCUACCAGUUGUGGGUUCAUCUGCAAAUAUCACAGAUGGGCUUGCAAUCAGUUCACAUGCAAGUGACAAACGUUUCUUUUCACCACCACUGAUUCCACGAACUUUUGCAUCACCAACAUUGGAAUCAGCACAGCUGACCUUUUGAAGAAAGAGAAUAACCAUAAGGGAAAAGAAAAAAAGAUCACAAAAAUUCGUAAGUGUGACAGCUUUCAUUUUCAGUUAUUCUCAAAACAAAAAACAGAAAAUUAUACCAGAUAGAAUGAACCUAACUUGGAAGAUGCAAAAUCAAUUAUGAAGUAAACUUCAAAUUGAGAAAAACAAAAUUGAAAAUAAACUUCAGCAAAGUCAGCCCCAAGAAAAAUACUCUACAAUGGAGAUUUUCCUAAAUUCAGUCAACAAUUCAUUCAACAUAUACAUGACUGCAGAAAUUCAAGUCAGUAACCUUACCAAACCUAGUUUAUACAAGAGAUUGUUCACAUAUUCAUCUCUAUCUUCCACAGAAGAUAGCUCUGGGAGCUGGAGUUCAGCAGCAAGAGACAAUGUUUCACGGACUGUCAACUGUGAGAAAAACAGGUCCUCUUGUCUCACAUAAGCAAACCUGCAAUAACAAUGAUCACCAUUAAAAAUAAAAUAUAAUAAUAAUAAUAACAACAACAAACAUUUCCAAGUAAUUCUUUGAUAAUGUAAGGCCCAAAAGAGGACUGGACAUACUUAUAAGCUUUCUUUGAUCUAGCCUUUCCAUUGACCUCCAAAAGACCUGACAAAUGCAACCGGGGUGACGCCAUUAGCUGACCUGCAAGAACAUUGAGCAGAGUUGUUUUCCCCGAUCCAGAUGGCCCCAUGAUUGCAAGUAGCCUUCCAGGUUUUGCCUCUCCACUUACAUUUUUUAGCAAAAAUCGUACCUGCAUUGAAGACAAGAUCAAAGAGUUUAUUAAUUUUCUUUAAUUAAGUAAAUUUCACAGCAAGAGCAUUAGGUAGUAUUUAAAAGUUCUUCUGGUCCUCCUACAAUUUAACAUGAUCUGCAUUUAUCCUCAAGGGCUUAGUGCUUGGAAUUGGAUUGGAGACUGACCCCAAUCCCAAUUCCAGAGUUUAGUUUCUUUUUCUAUACCAAUGCUUUAAAUUGAAUUGGAAUCAUAUGUACGCUAUAUCCUCAGAAAAAACUCAGAAACAAUUCCCCAGUAAAAGCAAGAUUUUCAAUUCCACAUAAACAGCAUUUCAAUAAAUCCAUCUAUGAAAACUGAACAUCUAAUCCAAGGAGUCCAAAAUUAUUUAAAUCCUCGGUGAUAUACGUAUAACUAUGCUCCGUUUUGCAGCUGAUAAGUAGGGGAAAAUAGGAAAAAUGAAAUUUUGAAUCUCAUGUUAAUGUUGUCCUCAAAAGAAUCGAAUUACUGACCUUCCUAAGCUAAAAAAAAAUUCUAGAUUCAAACUACUUCAUCUUUUCUUUUCCUAGACUUGUUCAGCAACCCAACGACAGCGAUUUUUUAAUUUAAGAAUAACUUACUGAUUUGGAAGAUUUGUCAGAGAGGGAGCAUGUUAUGUUGCUCCACUGGAUUGUCACAGGAAAAACUUUCCCAGCGAUAGGAGCUUCGCCGCCCUCACUAUCUCCAGCUAUCUCGUCCCUGUCAUCCUCCACCUCGUUUUCCGGCAACACCGCCGGUCCGGGGCCAGAGAAGAGACGGAACAACAGAGCAGCCGCGACGGCAGCCAGAAUCUGACCCACACCGUUCCCACCAAGACCUGCCAGCUGAGCCACUCUUUUCCCGCCAAAAACCACCAUAUCUGCUCCUCCUUCCUGUGUCGAAGCGGAGGUUUAAGCCUGUAAAUGACACUGGGUAGAAAGAUAUUUAUUCAUGGAUACGGCAUUAAGCGACGUCGUUUGGCGGGGAAGGCGGAUUCAUGCGACGACGUUUUGACGUGACUUGGCCUGUCUGAGAUAAUUUGUUCUCCCCCUUCUACGCUCGGAAAAUCAAUGAGAUUCUCUAACACUAACACGUGUCCAUGCGAGGAUAAGAUGGGCUGAAAUUUGAAACCCAUUUAUGGAUUGGGCUUCUCCGUUUUGGGCCCUUACCCAAGCCAUGGAGAGUGAACGAAAAGUGAUGGUGGGAUAAAAGCCACGUAACCGCAAUCGGAAAUAUUUUCCAUCGAAUUUAAUAAUUUGUGUAAUUUUCUUUUCUUCAAAUCACAAACAAAGAAAGAAUCUUGGAAAAUGUUAAGAUACUCUAAUGAUACAAUAAUAAUUUCAGACUAUUUGCAUAGUGAGAUCUAAGCCAUUGAUUUAUUAAACUAAAUUACAAACGAAUAAGAUUAAAAUAUAAGAUUUCAAAUAAAUAAGAGGUGAUCGAUAUUAUAUUUUCGGUAUAUAUUGAAAAAAAUAUUAUUCAACAGUAUAGAUUAAUCCAAUAAUUUUAUCAAUCUAUUUUUUAAAAAUUAGCAUUAUUCAAUCAAAUCACAUUAAAAAAUACACUAAAAUAUAUAUAUAUAUAUAUAUAUAUAUAUAUAUAUAUAUAUAUUCACAAGGUGUAUUAUAAUAUGUUUGUUGGUCACACGAAUAUUGUUCUCAUUUUAAGUUCUUUGGUUAUUAGUUUCUUAAAAGAACUUCAACAUGAGUUAUGGAAGGUCACUUAAAAGCAACUUGAAAUUUUCACCAAGUCUAAAGGCAAUUCUACAGUAAACUUUGUAAGGUUGAUUGGUUCAAACACUCUUAAACGAUUUCUGUGGGGAUCAUAAUUUAAGCAGGGAUAUAGUAUGACAGCUUCACAUUAAUUGUAGUAACUCCUCUGCCAACUUUGUCUCUGCCUUUUCUAGCGUCUUUUCAAAUGAUUCAAAUUAAUUUUCUUAGUAGACUUUGCUUGUGCACUGCUCUAGGAAUAUUUUGGGGUAGAGUUACUAACAAGUGGUUCAUUGUUAGAUACUAAUGCUUUGGAAAUGUCAAAUCAGUAGGUGAUGUUUCACCAAACGAAUUUCAAUAUGUUUGAACCAUGAGUAAUGACAUAUCCCUUGUGCCUAUUUUGAGAACUAGUCUAUAGUAAACGACGUGUACUCCUUUUACAUUGAGGCAAUGACCCUACCAUAUUAAGGCCUCAAUGUGACACAGUUCAAAAGUUGAGGAUUGAAGUGAACCACUUACUAGAAAUUUGGGGCAAUAAAUGCAUGCUCUUGUCGUCCUUGUAUUAAAAGUGCUAAGGAUCAUUUGCUUGAAUAAUUUCCACAUUACCCCUCAUGGUUCGUAGUUAAGAGAUCCUAUGCCUUUGAAGGGUGCAAUUAGAUAGUAUCAACGGACUUGAACCUUAGAGAGACACAAAAACAAUCAAUAGAGAAAGGCUCAAAUAGAAAAUUCUAAUAAGGAUUAACUAAUACAAUGUCAAAAUCGUAUUACCAAAUAUUUGCUUAAAAAACCAAAAAAGGUCAAAAAAAAAAAAAAUUGUCAACUUCCAAAUUUGCACGAGACACUUUAAUGAUUACGAAUGUUGUUAGGCAAUAAUAAAAAAAACAUCCGGCAAGACGACUUCAACCUCUGGACGGUGUGGCUUUGGAGUGGACCACUUGGUUUUGUCCGAGGCAAGCGGCCAACCCUUCGGGAUGUGUGAUGAAGAGCCAUAACUUCGUAAUGGUAUUUGUAGAAGUGAGUCCUCCUUUCCCUUUCAUUGUCUCUUCCUCUCGUUUCUCUAAUGUCUUGAGUCUUGACAAUGAAAGAUGGGUUUUAACUUUUAAGUUUUAACUACGACUCAUGAAUGGAGACACUCCUAAUCUCUGGCGCACACAUUUCAUGUCUGCCCCGUCUGCCGCACCACGCACAUGCUUCUACUUUCAGAGUCUCGGACCAAAUCAUCUGAAAUCAUCUUUGAGCUUGGGGCCAUGCCGCGCUUAAUGGGUUACAACUGGAAAUAAAAUUCACCAUUAAUGAAUUUGUCAAAAAAAGCUACCCAAAAAGAGCGAAAAUGCGGCACCCACCCUAAAAGCUGGAAGAGCACCAAAAGGAGGGCAUCCGAAAAUUACCAUUCAGUUAAUUUCAGUACAAAUUAAACCACUUAUUAUAUUAUCAUUUUUAACUUAAAGUGAGUGUUAAAUCAACAACUUUAAAAAUAUUGGCAAAAUAAUAUUAGAUUUAGAAAAAAAUAUCAAAAGAAAUUUAAAAUGGUUAGAAAUUUGAUUAGAAAAUUUUUAAUAUUUUUUCAUAAAAAAUCUUUUAAAAACUUUUUGAAUAAAUUUUAUAAUUUUAGAAAAUUUCUUUAAAUAUUAAAUUGAAAGUGAUGACAUCUUUUGUUUAUAAAUGAUGUAUUAGAUAAUAAUAUCAUUAAUAUAUUAAACGUCUAAAUAUUUAAAUCUGUAAUGAAUUCAUAUAUCAAUUUAAAUAUAAUUAAUUAGUAAAAAUUUGAGGCUUAUUAUUGUCUAUAAUUGAAAAUAUUUUAUUAGUUAUAUUAUCUUCAAUAAUUAAGACUACAUAUAAAUCCAAGUCUAUAAAUAUAAAAUUUUCAAAUAAUGGAAGAUGAUAUACCAUUAAAAAAUAUUUAAUAAAAUGUACAAUACAAAAAUGGUAAAAAAAACUUAAUUUUAUUCCCAAAAAAAAUUAAGAUGGAAAAAUAUUAAGAUAAUGUUAGCAUAUGAUUAAAAAAAAUGAUAAAGAUAAAACAAAAUGAAAUAACAAAAGGUAUAGAACGACUAAUGUUUUUUUACUAGCUUUCUCCGAGUGAGACACUUAUACAUGAAACAAGAUGUGUUCAAUUGAUUUUGUUGAGAUUCUUAACAAGACAAUAACUUUUCUAAAACUUGAAUUUGAUGUUUAGUGAUAUUUUAUUUUAAGUAAUAUUUUAUGCGUCUUUUUAAUAUUUUAAAUAUUCAUAAUUAACGUUAAGAAUAAUAAUUUUUAGACUUAAAGUGAGAUGUUUAUUACAUGGUAAUGAAUAUGGGUCGUUAGAUAACACUUUACCUGCAUAUAUAAACAGACCAAAAUGUCCAAGGAUAUUAAAUAAUUUUUUAUAAAAUAUUUUAUUUUAUUUUUAAUUUUAUUUAAACUUAAAUUUCACUCAUUUGGAAUAAAUAUACUAAUCUUUCUUAACUUGGAACUUUAACUAAUUUUUUUAUUAUUUUAAAUUAAAAGGACAACAAGAAAAUUUAACUAAACAGUAUAUAAGAAUUUAUUAUUUUUUAUUUUGGAAAUUUGAGAGUGCAUAUCCGCCCUUGUCAAGCAGUCCAACGUCACCGUUGAAAUUAAAUACGGUCAGUGGUAAGCGGAAUAUUUAUCAAGGAUAUUUCCGCAACCUUCAUAAUUAUUUAGAAUAUUCUCAAUUAAAUUCCGAAGACAUUAUCAGAGAUUUGAAUAUUCUAAAAUAAAUUGCAAAGACUUUAUCAGAGAUUUGAAUGUAGACCGACGAAGAAUUAAAAAAAAAAAAUAAAUUCUUUAUUAAUUCUCCCCAAACUAUAUUAUUUUAAUGUUUGUUUGAACAACAAUACCAGAAAUAAUACCACGAGUAGAAUCCGAAGUGGACAAAAUGAUUUUGUUUUCCCCCUCAAUUUUAGUCAAAUUAGUUAUGCCAUGGAGGCAGAAAAACAUGGGCAAAUGCGAGAAAGAGGAGACAAAAAUUAAGUUAAAAAUAGGAAUUAAAAACAAAAAUGUUUUAUUUUAAUAAGAUAAAUGACAAAAAUAGAAAAAAGAGCCGUAGGGAUACAUCAUGCAUUAAUGAGUUAUCCGCAAGGCGCAUCACAUCAAGACACCUCAUAGGAAUCGCGUUUAAAAUAUUCACGUCUCUUUCCACUCCCAUAUUUGCUAUUUCCACAUGAUCGUCCACUGCAACUAGCAAAUUCAAAACCACUAGGAGAUGAGUAGAUGGGAUGCCAACUACCAUCCCUGGAGCGUACACGCCACUGCGUAAUAAUACAAUUUUAUAUUUUUUCUCGACGGUCGACGCUACGCUUGACACUCAGAAAAAGAUGUAUUUAUUAUUUUUUUAGAUUUACCUUAAAAUGGUAAUUUUUAAAAAUUAUUUUAAAAUUUUAAUGUAAGAAUAUAAGGUCAAAUUUAUAUAUAUAUAUUUUUUAUAAAAGUUAAUUAUUGGCUAGACAACAUCAUAUUUGGAAUGUCAUGAAAUUGAUUUUGGGAAAUAGGAAAGAGCGUUUUUUUUUUAUAUAGUAUAAAAGGGGAAAAGGGAAAUCUUAGACCAAGAUAGGAUGAGAGGGAGCGUGAGUUGGCGGACCAAGAAGAGAGCGUGGACCUAACAGUAUUAAACUGGUUACAUUUAUAUACACGUAAAUGCACAACUUUCACAUUUCAAAGAAUGAAAUAAGUAGAAAGAGAGAAUCCAUUUGAGCAGGUGAACUCCUCAUCGACAUUACAAAUCUACUCUGCAAACCCAAACCCUAACCGCUGGACUUGAUCUCUCUUUAAACACAGACAAAAUCCUAAUAGUAAGCCCUAGUGUCCACGCUCUGAAAUCUUUGUAUCAAUUCUUGAAUCAACGAUCCCUUUGGACAUUCUGUUACAAAUCCGUGUGAACCUUUCCAACAGAACCCUAACCCUAAGCUUAAUCUGAUUUUGAGGGUAGGUUAUACAUAUGCUCCACCACCAUCAUCGCCAUGUUAGCAGAGAAGAAAUGGCUCUUCACACUCUUCUCCGCCGCCUUCGUCUCUCUCCUCCUCUUUCUCUCGUCGAUCUCCGGCUUUAACGCUUCUUACGCCUUAUCCUUCCACAAGCCCUUCUCUUCGACGGUCCACCACGGGCUCCAUUACCCGCCGGCAUUCGCCUACUACAUUUCCGGCGGCCGCGGCCACAAGGACCGGAUCCUCAGACUCUUGCUUGCGGUUUACCACCCCAGGAAUCGGUACCUGUUGCAUCUCGGGGCUGAUGCCUCGGACGAAGAGAGAAGACUUUUGGCCUCUGCGGUUAAAUCGGUGCCGGCGAUACGAGCAUUUGGGAAUGUGGAUGUGGUGGGGAAGCCGGAUCGAUUGACGUACAUGGGGUCUAGCAAUAUUGCUGCGACAUUGCGUGCCGCCUCGAUACUCUUGAGAGUUGACAGUGGAUGGAAUUGGUUUAUCACUUUGAGUUCAAUGGAUUAUCCUCUCAUCACACAAGAUGGUAUGUUCUUCUCGUGAUUUGUUUGUUUGAUUACUAUAUCAUUUUUGUGGGAAUUUGAAUUCCUCUUGCUAUUUUCUAUUUGGAGAAUGUGUGUUUUGAUGCCGUGGAAAUGGUGUUUCAGGAGGAUUAAUUUAGAUUUAUUUCUUUGUUCCAUAGCUACCGACAAGAUUGUGAUGGGUUAAAAUUAUCCCAUUUUGGAGUAAUGUGCGUCAGUUUUGUAUAUAAUGUGAUAAGGUGUUCGAGGAGUAGCUUAAAUUCAGAACUUGAUUUUGAUUUUACUGUCAUACGGAAGGCUAAUAAAAUGAUGGCAAGUUUUGAGUUUGAAAAUUUUUUAUGAUGCAUAAUCUUGCCCUGAGAGAACGGGAUAGCUAAUGAGUGAUAUAUGACUUGACAAGUAUAUCAUAUGGUGGUUAUCUUUUUUUUAGGGGCUAAUUUUGGAGGUCUAGCUGAAUCAUUUAUGUUUAAUAUGGGGCAUUUUAUUAGAAAAGUUGAAUUGAACUCAAAGUUCUGAAUUUAAGAUAAUUAAAUUCAAAAUAUGAAUGAGUUUAGCACAACUAAAUUCAAAUCCUGAAUGCUUUUGACCCUAAUCUCUUUGUUAAAAUUGGUGUUUUAAAAGGUGCACUCAAAGAGUCUCUAGGAACAAGGUGACUUGAUGUGUUUACCAUGGCACCUCGCCUGGAGUCAGUUGUUGUGCCUUCAAUAAGGUGCCUCUUUAGGUACUCAGGUAGACCCCUGGAGCCAAGAAAAGCACAUGUUUGUAUGUUUAUUUAUUUAUUUUCAACCUAGGCCAGAGUGACGGCUUUUUCAUCUUCAGUUUUUGAAAAAACAGAACAAACUGUGUGUCUUCAGUAGGGCACCACUUUAGGUGCUCAGGCAAGCCAUUGGAGCUAAGUCAAGGCACCCACUUUUGUUUCUUUAUUUUAAACCCAGGCCAAAAUGACAUAGUUUUGAGCCUCAGAUUUUAAAACCAGAGCCAGCCAGUGAUGUUGUUUUGCCUCUUGCAGCCUUUCCUCUGUUUUUCUUUAAACCUGAGGCAGAACGAUGCCAUUUUAUGAACCCUGUCCUCCCCUACCAAGCUCUAUUAUAAGAAGAAGAAAUGUGGAAGAGUGAUGCCAUCUUGUGAACCCUUUUAAGCCCUAGCUUGCCCAAACUCAACCAGCUGAAGAUAAAGACAUUCUUGGGCAGAAGAUGCUGUUUCAUGAACCUUUCUAACCCAUACCCCGCCUCAACCCACCCUAUCCAGCCCUGUAGCCAGUCCAAACCCAGUGGCCCAUUGUCUUAUGUUAGGGCUCAUGUCUGCUAGCUAGGGUUCGGGAAGAAAAAGCCCCCAAACGAAUGAGCUAUUCUCUUAUGCUAGGGCCAUAGAAGAAGAAAUAGCACAUAGUUGGCUGGCGUCUAUAGCCCUAGCCCAUCAAACCCAACCACACUCCAAGGAAUGCCCAGAAAUUUUCUAUUUCCCCCCACCCAACCACAUUACUUUGACUUUAUUCUAUAUCCAGAAACACACUUUAUUUGUUUGGACUUUUUAUGAAGUAAAGUAUGCUCACACUCUUCUAUAUAUACUUUUUAUGGAUUUUGCCCAUCAAGGUGCCUAGUUGAUUAGGGUGAAUGCCAGGAUGUGCAGUAGAGGCGCAUGGUCUUAGGUUUGAUUCUUGCUGCUAGUUGAAUACCUUGGAUUACCCAAUGUAGGUUGUGGUGGAUGCAGUCAGCACCUCGAGGUUUGAGAACCCAUGGAGAGUUCAAAGGGCUCGACCAUGGAAGGUUUAUAUAUACAUGCAUGUAUGCAUGCAUGCAUGGAUGUAUGUAUUUGAAUGAAAAUUGUUUUUGAUUAUUUUUUUUUUUUGGUAUUGCAUUGUUUUCUUCAAUCUGAAAGUGUUUAGUAUACUGAUUUUAUUUUUAUUUUUACUUGCAUUUGAGUAUUUUGACAAUGUGUUUAAAUUAAUGUAUUAAUAAUGGUAGUAAUUAGUCAUUUUGGGCUAAACUAUAGUGCAUAAUUAUUGACAAUUUAUGAAUUUUAUUUUUAUGUACACACAAUAGUAAAAUAUAUGAGUAUAUGAAAAAUAUUUGCAUAUCCAAAUUUACCAUGUUUCAUAAAACUGCACAUGCUUUAGGGUGUGCCUGCCUGCUCAGGUGUACUGCAUACGUCUUAGUUUGUGCCUUGUACCUUUCCAAACUAUGAUUAAGAUGAUGAAACAUAAGUCUGACUGGCUAUAUUUCAUAUAAUUUCCUGAAUUAUGCAUAAUUUCAUGAGGAUGAUCUAAUGUUGCACAGUUGCACUUACUGUUCAGCUCUGGGUAUGAGACCUUUCCAAAGCUAAGGUGGUGGUUGGUUUUUUCUGUACUUCAAUCUAAAUAGAACUUAAUUUAACUCUAAAUACAAUUUAAUAGUAUUAAGUAUUAAGGUGUUUGUUUUUUUUUAUUAUUUUAUUUCUUCUAAGUAUUAAGUAUUAAAAGGGUAAAGGUUGUGUUGAGAUUGUGUUUUUAGUUGUUUUAAAAAGUUAUUUUUACCAUUCGGCAAAAAGCCAAAUAUUUUAGCAUUUUCUAAUCAGUAAUUUUUUUUUUAAAAUUAGUAAUAAGUAUAAAAAAAUAAGUUAAAAAUAAACGAUCUAAAGUCUAAAAGCAAAUGACAUUCAACAUUAAGUUAAUAAAACAAACACCACCUAAGUGUUGUGUGAUUAUGGUCGUUUCUGUGGAUUAGAUAAGUGGAUCUUAAUGUAGUUCUCAUAUGCUAAUUGUGGAGGAAUAGAUGUAGCCAUAAAUCCUCAGUAUAAAAAUCAGAGCACAUAUAACUGAACUGCAAAAGCAGAAGAGAUAAAGAGAGGAAAAAGGCCUAGAGAGAGUUUCCCAGCCCUCGGUUUUCUCUCAUAAUAUAAAUGCUAUGUUUCAUAUCAAUAUCUUGUACAGAAAUAAUAAUUAAUAAUUAACUGUUCAAAAAUACAAAGGAAUAAUGGAAGUAGUACUGUUUUCUGUUAGGGGCAAUUUCCUUCCUUUCAACUGAAAAACCAAUUUGACAAGAGAGAACAAAAUGUUUGCUUAUUGUAGUAGUGAUUGUGAAAAUGUGACCAAUUCACCCUGCACAUGAUUUGCUUAGAUCCUUAUGCUAGUGAAGAUGACAGAUUCUCAACUGGCCUUCAAAACCUUAUUGUCACAAAGAGACUUAGUUACAUAUUCUAUUCAAGAAUGACAUAGUCUGUUCACCUCAAGAUCACUUCCUUGAGAUAGACUGGAUUCCAAGGCUUAUGGUGCUGGUGUCCUAUUCUUCUCCCACCUAACUCCUUCCCUUUCACCCCUCUCCCCUCCUUCCUCUCUCAAAUUUGGUUCUUCCUCUUCAGGGAGGUUUACCGAUGCGACAUCAGCAACCUCAGAUGCUGGUGACCAGAAACUUUGUGGCUGCAGUUGUAUACUUAGCUUGGUUUCUAUUUUCUAACAUGUCUUCAAAUUUUUAGCUUUUAUUUUUUUUCGGUGAUGAGAUUCCCAUGCUGUUCUAGGUCAUUUCCAUUCAUGUUUUGUCAGUAAAUUUCCAUAAUAUCUCUAGAUCAGUCAUUCUUUAUAGUUCGUGCUGUCUAACUAAUGGUUGGUUAUGUUUUAUUCUUUUUCUUUCAGACUUGUCCCAUGUAUUCUCCUCUGUUAGGAGAGAUCUCAAUUUCAUCGAUCAUACCAGUGACCUUGGAUGGAAAGAGUAGGCAAACCCUGGUCACUAAUUCCUGUGAUAGCUCUGUGGUACAUAAUGCCAAUCACUUUUGAAUCACAUUGAAUUGCAUAAUGUUGUUGCAGGUCUCAGCGUGUCCAUCCUAUAGUAGUUGACCCAGGCAUUUACUUGGCAAGAAGGUCUCAAAUUUUCCAUGCUACAGAGAAGCGGCCCACCCCUGAUGGUUUUAAAUUUUUCACAGGCAAAGUUCUCCUCUAUGUUUUGUGUUUUUGCCACUCAAAUUACUCUUGUGAGGCAUGCUUUAAAAUAAUAGGUUGACCCUUGCUAUUUAUUCGACCAUAAUCCUUUCUCAUUUUACAGGUUCUCCAUGGGUCAUUCUGAACAGAUCCUUUCUGGAAUUCUGCAUUCUUGGUUGGGAUAAUCUCCCCCGAACACUCCUAAUGUAUUUUACGAAUGUAAUUUUGUCUGAUGAAGGUUAUUUCCAUUCUGUCAUUUGCAAUUCACCGGAGUUUAGGAAUACGACUGUGAACAAUGAUUUGAGAUACGUGAUCUGGGACAGUCCUCCCAAAAUGGAACCUCACUUUCUCAAUGUAUCUGAUUAUGAUCAGACAGUUCAAAGUGGAGCUGCUUUUGCCCGACAAUUCCAAAAAGAUGACCCAGUGCUAAAUAUGAUUGAUGAGAAGAUCCUCAAGCGAGGGCGUAACAGAGUUGUUCCAGGGGCAUGGUGCACGGGCAGGAAGAGUUGGUGGAUGGAUCCUUGUUCCAAUUGGGGAGAUGCCAAUGUCUUGAGGCCUGGGCUUCAGGCAAAGAAGUUAGAGGAGUCAGUGACUAACCUUCUUGAGGGCUCGAAUUCUCAGUCGAAUCAGUGCAAAUGAAUAUUGAUCAAACUUAAGGAAGGUAUUCUGAAGCGCGGUGCAAUUCUUGUGCAUCUGAAGUAUAUUGACCUGUUUGAAAGACCAUCGGUGAGACAAAUUCUUUGGUUGCUACUGUCUAUAUGUUGUGGGGGUUCCUCUGGUCAUGGGCUUUGACGGUGAACAUGUUCAGGAUAGAAGUUGAUGGAUGGAAGAAUUAAAUUCAUUUGAGGUUUUUGGGCUGUAUUGUGGCUUGGUGUUGAUACUAACGCAGGGCCUGUCAGUCAUUAAAUCAAUAAGAGGAAUGCCUCCCUCUAUGCUCUGCCAUAUUUUCAAGGCCGAUGUAUCUUCAACCAGUCAUUCCAUUUGUCAACUGUUUACAAUUUGAGGCAGUUUCAUUCUUUGAACCCGAAGUGUAUCGUUUUUCCGAUGAAUCUCUAUCUGCAUACGCAAAAUGCGCCUUUGAUGAUAUAUACCGGAAUCAGAAAAUUUCUAGAAUUUUCUUUUCCAGUAAAUACAUAUAUCUAAAUCAGAAAGUAUCUACUACGGCCUCUGUUUUUGUGUCAUAUACAGAUGCGCGUGUGGGCGUGACCACUGCACAGAUGCCCAGGGAUUCUCGUGGGAAGUGCCCAAGCAGGGGAAUCCAUUGCAGGGCCGGCCGACUGUGCAGUUGAUUCAUUGACCUUUUUUGUGGGCCGAUUUAAGGUCCGAGUACCCAAACACAGUUUGUCGUUAUCAAUAACGAAUGGUUUAAAUGAACGCCGGGAGAUUUUACUAAGAUAAUUUGAUAAUUAAGAUGAAUAGAUAAAUAGAUAAAAAAACAAUUAAAUAUAUUCUAUUUAAUACUUAUAAAAACGUAGAUAAAUCUACUUGUGUAAAAUUAUAACAUUACAUAAUAUUUAUCUUCUUUUUAUUUUAAUAUUUUGAUUAUAUUUCCAAAUUAUUAAUUUCUCCAUUAUAAUUUUCAUAAUUCCAUAUUUUUGCUCCAUUUUUCAUACUUUAAUUGCAUUUUUUAUAUCUUGAUCACAGUCUAUGUGCUUUACUCAUAUUGUUCUUACUUGAGUUGCAAUUUUUAUACAUGAAUACAUGAGUUAUAUUCAUUCUACCAUUGUCACUUUUUUAUAUUUUGAUAACAUUUUGUAUACUUUUAUGAUAUAUAUAUACCAAUAAUAUUCUUUAUACCUUAGUUAUAUAUAUAUAUAUAUUUAAAAUUAAUCAUAUUCACAAUUUUUUUAAGUCACAUUCUUUGUUCAUAUUUUAAUCACAUUUUUUUUAUCUUUACUCACAUGUAUAUCUUAAUCACAUACUUUUACCAAUGUAUAAAAUAAUUCAAAUCUUAACUACUGAAAAUUUUAACUUCUAAUAAAAUUAAGAUAUAAAUUACCUUAUACAACGAUUCACCAUUUGAAUUCUAUCCAUAAAAAAAUUUCAACCACAUAAGUAUUGUAUUAAAUUAUAAUUUUUUGAUUCAUAUCAUAGCAGUUUUCUUCUUUUAGAAAAAAAAUUAUAUAAAAGAUAUAAAAAAAUAAUCCAGAUAGUUUUAUUCCGCUUAAUAUUUCUAGGUUUUUUUUUUCUUAAUUCAAAUCGAGCCAUCUUAUUUCAAAUUAUUGGGUGUUUUGGGAGAAUCGAGUCAAUAAAAUCUUGUAUCAACAUAUUAGGUUGUUGUAGAAUCAAGCGAUCAGCAAAAGCAGAAAACAACUACAGCUACAAAAAUAAGGCAAAAGGGAAUCCCGGAUUUUCCCCUCUUUCUCAACUGAAAUGGGUCUCACUCGAUUCCUCAAAUUUUCUCCGAAAAUUUUGAAAACCUCCAACCCCUUCACCAUUAGCUUCCAUCUUCUUCUUGCUGACGCUGAUUUUGUUCGAUUGGAAUCUAUCAAACAUGAAAAUGAAAAUUCAUGCGGGUUUUCCCCAUUUAGUUUUUGCAGAUCAAUACAUGGCGGUUCAAUACGAAACCAGGCGUGCACUGAGACCACUGAUGCCACAAACCAUCAUAUAGCCCAAGAUACUGGAAAAUUGUGUAAACUACUUUGCACUCACUCUAAUUCUAGUAUUGAAUCAUUGCUCAAUGGCGCUUCGGUCGACGUAUCUCCCACGCUGGUCCUGGAGGUCCUGAAGAAGCUCAGCAAUUCCGGUGUCAUCGCUCUUUCCUUCUUUAGGUGGGCUGAGAAGCAAAAGGGGUUUAAAUACAGUACGGAGAACUACAAUGCUCUAAUUGAAGCCCUGGGCAAGAUCAAACAGUUCAAGAUGAUCUGGAAUUUGGUGAAUGAUAUGAGGUCUAAGGGUUUGUUGACCCAAGAGACUUUUGCUUUGAUUUCACGGAGGUACGCAAGAGCAAGGAAGGUUAAAGAAGCGGUAGAGACAUUUGAGAAAAUGGAAAAGUUUGGAUUGCAGCCGGUACUCUCAGAUUUUAAUAGAUUACUUGAUGCCCUUUGUAAGUCGAGACAUGUCGAGAGAGCACAAGAGGUGUUUGAUAAAAUGAAGGAUAGAAAGUUCAGGCCUGAUAUCAAGUCCUACACGAUUUUGUUGGAAGGGUGGGGUCAAGAACAAAAUUUGUUGAGAUUGGACGAGGUUUAUCGAGAGAUGAAGGAUGAGGGGUUUGAGCCCGAUGCUGUGACUUAUGGGAUACUUAUCAACGCCCAUUGUAAGGCUAGAAGAUACGAUGCAGCCGUUGAGUUGUUUCAUAAAAUGGAAGCAAACAAGUGCAUGCCUACUCCUCAUAUUUAUUGUACUCUCAUCAAUGGGUUGGGCUCCGAGAGGAGAUUGACCGAAGCUCUCCAGUUUUUUGAACGAUCUAAGGCUAGUGGAUUUACUCCAGAGGCACCCACAUAUAACGCUGUGGUGGGAUCUUACUGUCAAUCAAUGAGGAUGGAUGAUGCCUAUCGUAUAGUUGAUGAGAUGAGAAAAUGUGGAGUUGGUCCGCAGACUCGAACCUAUGAUAUAAUUCUUCAUCACUUGAUAAAGGCUAGAAGAACAAAGGAAGCUUACCGGGUUUUUCAGGGAAUGAGCAGCGAGCCAGGCUGUGAGCCAAGUGUGAGUACAUACGAGAUUGUAGUGAGGAUGUUUUGCAAUGAAGAGAGAGUGGAUAUGGCGUUAAGGGUAUGGGAUGAAAUGAAAGCCAAGGGAGUUCUUCCUGGAAUGCACAUGUUCUCAACGUUAAUUAACAGCUUGUGCUAUGAGAAUAAGUUAGACGAGGCCUGCAAAUACUUUCACGAAAUGUUGGACAUGGGUAUCAGGCCUCCAGCAGCAAUGUUCAGCAAUUUGAAACAAACUCUACUUGAUGAGGGAAAGCAGGAUAUGGUUCUAAUUUUGGCUCAGAAGCUUGACAAAAUCAGGACAACUCAAGUGAUUGGUUGACACCAAAGGGGAGAGAGAUAGACUGUUGUAACUGGGCAACCCAACUACACAGAUCAUCUGACCCGAUCAAGACCCUUAUGGCUGAUCAGUUGGUGCCCAAUAAAAACUGCUGAUGGGGGUUGGAAUGGUAUACAAGGGUGUAGUAUGUUUCGUUACGAGAUCAUCUUGCCUCUAUUGUUGGUUUCCUCAAAUGUAGUCUCAUAACAUCUUCAACUAUCAUGUAUCUGAUUGCACCUUCUGAGUAAUGAAGCACUUUUGGUGAUGCACACUUGCUGCUUAGAUGAUGAUUUGCUUGUAAUGCUUCUAUAUGUAGGGUUACUCCAGUCCUUUUCAUAAGUCCUCUCCAUAGCACUUAGAACUAACUGAGACUGUUCAUUUAUAGGAGCAGCAGCAGAGAAAGGAAAACUGAAAUUAUUUAGGACGUGAUUGGAAAGGAAAAGGCCAGAUUUAUGCAAAGUGAUCACAGGGAAAAGCUUACUAAUCAUAACUUCUUGACUAUCAUUUCUUCAUUUCAUACUUUGAAAUCCAGUAAAUGAAAUAGAAUUCACUUUUUGAAAGCAAAGGUUUCAAAUUGGACCGAGCUUUCUUCAAUCGUUUCAGAUAUACGAAAUCAAACACGGCUCUCUAGCUGAAAAUCUGAGUGUAAGAACCAACAGAGUAGUGGCCGUUCUAUCUUCAAGUUCCUACUGAGUGGUAGAAUAAGAAGAGUUUUGGUAGGCUACACAAUCCCACCAGAAAGGGGAAUCUUGAAAGAAACUACACGUAUAUCACCUGCCGUAUUCAUGAUUAAGACCUUAAAAUUCACUGUUGCCUAAUGCAGUCUGUUCAUUAGUUUUGCUUCCCCCAGUUUCAGACGAAGAGUCUGCAGCUUGUUCUGGUCCCACCAGCAAGGUAAGAACUUCCCCAAGACCGUGAACAACAAGCCAAUCACUGUGAUACAUGUCCGGAAAAGCAACUGAAACUUCGUUCAGCUUCAAUGUAUCACCAGAUCUCGUAAUGUUAAUGGUAAAGCCCUCCAAAGAUGUCGGCAACAUUGACCCAUCAUCAAAAUUAACCAGAUCAGACCAUGAAACCUUGCAUGGAAGAACAUGCCGAAGAAAGAUUGACGAUGAAAUGUCGCUAAAAUUACCAACACGAUCCAUCAUAACUUCAUCAGCUGGGGCGAGAACUGUCAUCUUUGUGCCAUCUCUAAACCCUAGCAAUUGCAAAUCAAGAAACGAAGCCAUCACAAAGUAUCCUCUGGACCUUAACACUCCGCUUGCUUCAUCAAAAGAAUCACCACCUGAAGAAGCAAUUGCAUCAUCUGUGCAUCCCGUAUUAGGGCUAGGGCUUCGAGUCAGGCCUAAAGCCGGGAAAUUCAGAUCGAAGAACUUAUCCACCCCAAAAAUGAUCAAAGAACCAUCAUCGAACAAAGGCGACGAGGUGAUAUUAACAUUGUUUAACGAAAUUUGAGAAUCGGAAGCGGCGCUGGUGACUAUCAACGAGUGGUUGGCGAACAUCGUCGGAAUCUUGGCUCCGACGGGAAGCGAACGGAGGCUUUCAAAAGAUAAAGCUAGGGGCGAGGAAUGGAAUUGGAGUAGGGAGAGCGGAGGCUGACCAGAUUCGAUAAAUGCGGCGUCGGAAGCAGCGAACAAGGUGGCCGACGGCGAUUUGGGAAGUAGGGUCUGAGAGACGAGUUCGAGGGUGAGGGACAUGGAGACGUAGCCCGAAUCAGAGAGGAUUUCUGCAGCGUCGAGGAUUGUUUGGGAUGGGAGAGAAGAGGAGAGGGAGAAGAGACAGAAAAUGAUGAGAGAAGUGAGAAGAGAGUACGCCAUUAAUGGUAGGUCCGGAAGAUUUUUAGGGUUUAGGUUGCAGAUUUUCUAUAUGAACGAAGGAGAAAGGAUUCUGGUGGGAAAGAAAAAUGAAACGUGGCGGCGUGGGAUUUGUUGAUCAACAAGGGGAAUCAAAAGUUCGUUAAGAAGUAGUUGUUAAACUCUUCCAGAGAAAUGACGGAAGUACCCCUUCAGGAUUUGAGUUUUACGUUGUUAUUGGGCCUACCGUGGAUGAUGGGCCUUUGUGGGGUCGUCACUCUACUUGGCUGGGUUCUGUUGUGUCGAUAUGAACAUUUUACUCGAAUCAAUAAACCAUAUAACAAUUCUUUCACAAUAACAUAAGUAGGAUGGAGAGAUUGGACCACGUGGAUUAUUCAAAUUCACACGAAAAACAUAAACAUUAUGUCUUAUCUAAUAAAAUUACAAAAAUAUUUAUGACGGUUGUGAAUUUAAAUCGUAAAAUUGGAUUUUUAUUUUUCCUCUCACUUUUCUUUUUCUAGGCCUAAAAGAAGCUUAAGGCAAUUACAAGAAUUUUUUAAAAGAAAGAUGAGAAUGGGAGACUUGCCCAAACAUUGAUACUGUGAAGGUUUCGAUGUUGGUCGGGACGAUGCUACCACCCAAUGAUGGGGAAUGAUCCAACCAUAAUUCUCUUACCAACGGUAUGAUCAUUCUUUGGAAUAUACCCCUGUAAUUGAAACUCUCCUUCCUUUCGGAUAUGGAUUUUUGUAAGUUGUGGUGACUAUAUGGCCUUGGUUGAUGUUUCUCUCUUUAAAACUAUUUGCCCCAAGCCCAUUACUAUCUUCAUCACUUUGGCAUAUUUAGUAUUGCCAUAAUACUAAUAAAGGAAAUUUUAUUUAAUUUUUAAAUUACCAUAUUGUAUUAUUAUUUCUUGUUUUUUUUUAAUAUUUAAAUGAAUAUUUUAUUCGUAAAUCUGAAAAAUUAUAAUGUAUAUGCAUAUUACAAUAAUAAUAUAAUUAUGUAGUAUUUUAACACAUUAAAUACUGAAUAAGGGUGAAAUUAAUCAUAAUGACUCAAAACUAAAACAAAUCAUAAAAUCAAAUCAAAACUAAAACAAAUCAUCAAAUCAAAUAAAAUAUUUCUUAAUAUGAUGUGGGUAUCAUCUAUAAGGUGGGCCGAAAUAUUUAUUCCAUGUGUCUUGGGCAUAGUUGUCAUACCAUGCGUCACCUUCUCUUUGCUCAUAAUCACCAUAUUCCACUGUCCUUCCUCGUUGUUCAAAUGAGAAGUCAACUUCCUCUUGUGUAGGUUCAUCAGAAGUGUCAAUAUCCUCUUGUGUAGGUUCAUCAGAAGAGUCAAUAUCCUCUUGUGGAGGAUCAGUAGAAGCUUCAACAGAAGCCUCAGUAUCUUUUUUCAUGUAAAAGAAAGCGAUAAAGACAGAAAAUUAAAACGAUGAUAUGCCAUAUGAGAAAGACUUAUAUAUACAUAUAUAAUUAGAAGGGACAAAAAAAACCCGAGAGAGAAAGAAAAAGUAAACCUUUGGGCUUAGAAGAAAAGCAACCCAUCUUUUCUAAGUUCAAUUUUUUUUUUUUUUAAAUGUCUUCAUGGAAUCUCUUUUUAUAGCUGAUUAAGUCCUUUAAUUAGCAUGAUAAUGGAAAGAGAGGAAUUUGGGAAGAGAAUCCCUUUUUAAUAUUUUCAAAAUAAAAUAGAUUCUCUUAAAAGUUUUUCCCUUUUAAAAAAAAUUUAAUAAUAUAUAUAUGCCUUGGACAAGGAGUAGGGCUUUGGAGCUUCUUAUGAAACUCUUUCUUGUACCUCGACCUUGUUCCAUUUUUUUUAUCUUGUACCCCAUGUAGGCUUGUUUCGCAUAGGCUACACAAGUUUUGGUUUUGUACCUUGAACACCAACCCCAUCUUGACAAUGAAAAAGAAAAUUACAAACAACUACAAAAAUUAUAACUUCUAUGAAUAGAUGUUUUCAAUUAGUUAGAUUUUUAAAAUUGUGUAAACUUUUAUAACAAACGUCUACAUGCAUUGGUUAAAGUUAUUUUCUUAUAAAAAUUUGACGUUAAUAUGAUUUAUUCAAACAUUUUUAUGUUAUCUAUGAUUCUUAGAAAAUAUUAAGGAAAGAAAAUAUGAAGGAAUAAUAAAAGGAAAAGAAAAAAUAUAGAAAUAUAUAUAUAUAUAUAUAUAUAUAUAUAUAUAUAUAUAUAUAUAUAUAUAUAUAUAUAUAUAUAUAUAUAUAUAUAUAUAUAAAGUUUUAGGACAAUCGUGUUUUAGACCUAGUUGGACCUAAAAAUUAAGUUUUGAUUCAUAUAAAUUGCAUAAUUGAUGGAAAGAAUAUAAAAUAUGAAAAGAUCAAUAUAUCUUUCAAAACUAUUUUCUACCACAAUGUUCGAUAAAUUUUUUGAUCUUAAAUUUUUUUUAAUAAUUAUUCUAAAAAUUGAUUAUUUUUAGAAAACUAAUUUUUCUAAAAAUAUAUCAUUUUAAAAAAAAUUUUGACAUAAUUUUAGUUAUUUUUUAUAUCCACAAUUUUAAAAAGUAUAUACUUUCCAAAAUGAUUGAUUUUUAAAUAAUAAAAAUAAUAAUUUAUUUUUAUUUUUUUGAAAAAUUGUGUAUUUUUUUUCAAAUCACUAAAUUAUAUUGAAUUUAAUUGAGGUUUAUAAAAGGAAUCUUGGCUCCGACGGGAAGCGAAAGGAGGCUUUCGAAAGAUAAACUAGGGCCGAGGAAUGGAAUUGGAGUAGGGAGAGCGGAGGCUGACCAGAUUCGAUAAAUGCGGCGUCGGAAGCAGCGAACAAGGUGGCCGACGGCGAUUUGGGAAGUAGGGUCUGAGAGACGAGUUCGAGGGUGAGGGACAUGGAGACGUAGCCCGAAUCAGAGAGGAUUUCUGCAGCGUCGAGGAUUGUUUGGGAUGGGAGAGAAGAGGAGAGGGAUAAGAGACAGAAAAUGAUGAGAGAAGUGAGAAGAGAGUACGCCAUUAAUGGUAGGUCCGGAAGAUUUUUAGGGUUUAGGUUGCAGAUUUUCUAUAUGAACGAAGGAGAAAGGAUUCUGGCGGGAAAGAAAAAUGAAACGUGGCGGCAUGGGAUUU